CAGUAGCCACGGUAAUACGAAGGGUGCAAGCGUUACUCGGAAUUACUGGGCGUAAAGCGUGCGUAGGUGGUGGUUUAAGUCCGUUGUGAAAGCCCUGGGCUCAACCUGGGAAUUGCAGUGGAUACUGGGUCACUAGAGUGUGGUAGAGGAUAGUGGAAUUUCCGGUGUAGCAGUGAAAUGCGUAGAGAUCGGAAGGAACAUCUGUGGCGAAGGCGACUAUCUGGGCCAACACUGACACUGAGGCACGAAAGCGUGGGGAGCAAACAGGAUUAGAUACCCCGGUAGUCCCUGUCUCUUAUAA
rnacentral:rRNA from 1 species